UAAAGCAAGAAAGGGCGUAUGGGGAAUGCCUAGGCACACUCCGGCGAAGAAGGACGCAGCAAACAGCGAAAUGCGACGGUGAGCGGUAAGCACGUGAAGAGCCGUCGAUAUCCGAAUGGGGGAACCCACACGGAGUCAUAUCCGUGUAUCACAUGUCGAAUACAUAGACAUGAUGAGGCGAGACGCAGGGAACUGAAACAUCUAAGUACCUGCAGGAAGAGAAAAUAAGAAUGAUUUUCUGAGUAGCGGCGAGCGAAAGGGAAAGAGCCCAAACCGAUCUGAGGAUCGGGGUAGUAGGAUCAUCGAUAAAUCAAACAGAGGAUCAUAGAGGAAUCACAUGGGAAGGUGAGCGAGAGAGGGUGAGAGCCCCGUACUCGAAAUGAGAGACUGGAGAGAGAUGACACCUGAGUAGGGCGGGACACGAGAAAUCCUGUCUGAAUCAGCCGGGACCAUCCGGCAAGGCUAAAUACGAGAGAGUGACCGAUAGUGAACCAGUACCGUGAGGGAAAGGUGAAAAGAACCCCGGGAGGGGAGUGAAAGAGAACCUGAAACCAUAUGCCUACAAGAAGUCAGAGCCCGUUAAAGGGUGAUGGCGUGCCUUUUGUAGAAUGAACCGGCGAGUUACUGUAUGGAGCGAGGUUAAGCAGGAUAUGCGGAGCCGAAGCGAAAGCGAGUCUUAAGAGGGCGCGAGUUGCAUGCAGUAGACCCGAAACCGGGUGAUCUAGCCAUGACCAGGUUGAAGUUGGGGUAAAACCCGAUGGAGGACCGAACCGACCCCCGUUGAAACGUUGGCGGAUGAGUUGUGGCUAGGGGUGAAAUUCCAAUCGAACCCGGAGAUAGCUGGUUCUCCCCGAAAUAGCUUUAGGGCUAGCGUCGAGAGAAGAGUUGCGUGAAGGUAGAGCACUGAAUAUGUGAUGGCCCCAUCUCGGGGUACUGAGCAUAAUCAAACUGCGAAUGUCACGCCAACAUGCUCGGCAGUCAGACAGCGGGUGAUAAGGUCCGUUGUCAAGAGGGAAACAGCCCAGACCAUCAGCUAAGGUCCCAAAAUGUAUGCUAAGUGGAAAAGGAUGUGGAGAUGUACAGACAACUAGGAGGUUGGCUCAGAAGCAGCCAUCCUUUAAAGAGUGCGUAACAGCUCACUAGUCGAAUGACUCUGCGCCGAUAAUUUACCGGGGCUAAGCAUACUACCGAAGCUAUGGAUCCCAAGGGAUGGUAGGGGAGCGUUCCAUGAACGGAGAAGUACGACCGAAAGGACGUGUGGAGAUCAUGGAAGAGAGAAUGCCGGUGUGAGUAGCGGAACGUGGGUGAGAAUCCCACGCACCGAAAACCCAAGGUUUCCAGAGGAAGGUUCGUCCGCUCUGGGUAAGUCGGGACCUAAGGCGAGGCCGAAAGGCGUAGUCGAUGGACAACAGGUAGAGAUUCCUGUACCCGUAUAUAUGUGAAGGAAUGACGGAGAGAGGAAGCUGCAGCCAGCGGCUGGAAGAGCUGGUGCAAGCGAGAUAUCGGGAUGGCAGGCAAAUCCACCAUCCGAAACGAGAAGGCGUGAAGCGUACGGAAAGCUACGGCGAGUACGGAAGGCAGUGGAGGAACUUCCAAGAAAAGUUUCUAACGUUAAGUAUAUAUGGCCCGUACCGAAAAUGGACACACAUGGGUGAGGAGAGAAUCCUAAGGUGAGCGAGAGAACUAUAGCUAAGGAACUCUGCAAAAUGACUCCGUAACUUAGGGAGAAGGAGUGCUCAUAGAGAUAUGAGCCGCAGUGAAACGGCCCAAGCGACUGUUUACCAAAAACACAGCUCUCUGCUAAGCCGCAAGGCGAAGUAUAGGGGGUGACGCCUGCCCGGUGCUGGAAGGUUAAGGGGAGGGGUUAACGCAAGUGAAGCCCUGAACUGAAGCCCCAGUAAACGGCGGCCGUAACUAUAACGGUCCUAAGGUAGCGAAAUUCCUUGUCAGGUAAGUUCUGACCCGCACGAAAGGCGUAAUGAUUUGGGCACUGUCUCAACAGCCCGCCCGGCGAAAUUGUAGUACUGGUGAAGAUGCCAGUUACCCGCAACUAGACGGAAAGACCCCAUGGAGCUUUACUGCAGCUUAAUACUGGAAUUCGGUAAAUCAUGUACAGGAUAGGUGGGAGACUGGGAAGCAUUGGCGUCAGCUAGUGUGGAGUCGCUGGUGGGAUACCACUCUUGAUUUGCUGGGUUUCUAACCUGCGGCCGUGAAUCCGGUCGGGGGACACUGUUAGGCGGGCAGUUUGACUGGGGCGGUCGCCUCCAAAAGAGUAACGGAGGCGCUCAAAGGUUCGUUCAGCACGGACGGAAAUCGUGCAUUGAGUGUAAACGCAUAAACGAGCCUAACUGCGAGACCGACGGGUCGAGCAGUAACGAAAGUUGGAGUUAGUGAUCCGGUGGUAUGUGAGUGGAAAUGCCAUCGCUCAACGGAUA
rnacentral:rRNA from 1 species